rnacentral:rRNA from 1 species
GUGGAGCAUGUGGUUUAAUUCGAAGAUACACGAAGAACCUUACCUGGCCUUGACAUGGUAGGAACCUUAAGAGAUUAGGGGUGCUAGCUUGCUAGAACCUACACACAGGUGCUGCACGGCUGUCGUCAGCUCGUGUCGUGAGAUGUUGGGUUAAGUCCCGCAACGAGCGCAACCCUCGUCCUUAGUUGCUAACAGUUCGGCUGAGCACUCUAGGGAGACUGCCUUCGCAAGGAGGAGGAAGGUGAGGACGACGUCAAGUCAUCAUGGCCCUUACGGCCAGGGCUACACACGUGCUACAAUAGGGCGUACAGAGAGCUGCGAUACCGCGAGGUGGAGCCAAUCUCUUAAAGCGUCUCUCAGUUCGGAUUGUUCUCUGCAACUCGAGAACAUGAAGCUGGAAUCACUAGUAAUCGCAGAUCAGCUAUGCUGCGGUGAAUACGUUCCCGGGUCUU